rnacentral:sRNA from 1 species
GUAAGGGUAAGGGAGGAUGACUCCACCCCUGAGACUGACUGUUAAUAAGCUGGGAAACUUAUGAGUAACAGUACAAUCAGUAUGAUGACAAGUCGCAUCAUAACCCUUCUCCUUCAAGCCCUCGCUUCGGUGAGGGCUUU